GAUGAACGCUGGCGGCGUGCCUAAUACAUGCAAGUCGAGCGAAUGGAUUAAGAGCUUGCUCUUAUGAAGUUAGCGGCGGUCGGGUGAGUAACACGUGGGUAACCUGCCCAUAAGACUGGGAUAACUCCGGGAAACCGGGGCUAAUACCGGAUAACAUUUUGAACCGCAUGGUUCGAAAUUGAAAGGCGGCUUCGGCUGUCACUUAUGGAUGGACCCGCGUCGCAUUAGCUAGUUGGUGAGGUAACGGCUCACCAAGGCAACGAUGCGUAGCCGACCUGAGAGGGUGGUCGGCCACACUGGGACUGAAACACGGCCCAGACUCCUACGGGAGGCAGCAGUAGGGAAUCUUCCGCAAUGGACGAAAGUCUGACGGAGCAACGCCGCGUGAGUGAUGAAGGCUUUCGGGUCGUAAAACUCUGUUGUUAGGGAAGAACAAGUGCUAGUUGAAUAAGCUGACACCUUGACGGUACCUAACCAGAAAGCCACGGCUAACUACGUGCCAGCAGCCGCCGUAA
rnacentral:rRNA from 1 species